AAAUUUCAGCCCAGAAUAAAAACUCUUCUUCCCAUUAUUUUAACUUAAAAUGGGCAGAAGAGUUUUUAUUCUGGGCUGAAAUUU
rnacentral:pre_miRNA from 1 species